rnacentral:rRNA from 1 species
CCUACGGGAGGCAGCAGUAAGGGAUAUUGGUCAAUGGGGGAAACCCUGAACCAGCAACGCCGCGUGAGGGAAGACGGUUUUCGGAUUGUAAACCUCUGUCCUCUGUGAAGAUGAUGACGGUAGCAGAGGAGGAAGCUCCGGCGAACUACGUGCCAGCAGCCGCGGUAAUACGUAGGGAGCGAGCGUUGUCCGGAUUUACUGGGUGGAAAGGGUGCGUAGGCGGCUUGGCAAGUCAGUAGUGAAAUCCCUGGGCUUAACCCAUGAACUGCUAUUGAAACUGUCGAGCUUGAGUGAAGUAGAGGUAGGCGGACUUCCCGGUGUAGCGGUGAAAUGCGUCGAGAUCGGGAGGAACACCAGUGGCGAAGGCGGCCUACUGGGCUUUAACUGACGCUGAGGCACGAAAGCGUGGGUAGCACACAGGAUUAGAUACCCUAGUAGUC